GAUGAAGAACGUAGCGAAAUGCGAUAAGUAAUGUGAAUUGCAGAAUUCAGUGAAUCAUCGAAUCUUUGAACGCACAUUGCGCCCGCCAGCAUUCUGGCGGGCAUGCCUGUUCGAGCGUCAUUUCAACCCUCGAGCCCCCACGGGGGCCUCGGUGUUGGGGGACGGCACACCAGCCGCCCCCGAAAUGCAGUGGCGACCCCGCCGCAGCCUCCCCUGCGUAGUAGCACACACCUCGCACCGGAGCGCGGAGGCGGUCACGCCGUAAAACGCCCAACUUUCUUAGAGUUGACCUCGGAUCAGGUAGGAAUACCCGCUGAACUUAAGCAUAUCAAUAAGCGGAGGA
rnacentral:misc_RNA from 1 species